rnacentral:rRNA from 1 species
AUUGAACGCUGGCGGCAUGCUUUACACAUGCAAGUCGAACGGUAACAGGGUGCUUGCACCGCUGACGAGUGGCGAACGGGUGAGUAAUGCGUCGGAACGUGCCGAGUAGUGGGGGAUAACGCAGCGAAAGUUGUGCUAAUACGGCAUACGUACUGAGGUAGAAAGUGGGGGACCUUCGGGCCUCAAGAUAUUCGAGCGGCCGACGUCUGAUUAGCUAGUAGGGGAGGUAAAAGCUCACCUAGGCGACGAUCAGUAGCGGGUCUGAGAGGAUGAUCCGCCACACUGGGACUGAGACACGGCCCAGACUCCUACGGGAGGCAGCAGUGGGGAAUUUUGGACAAUGGGCGAAAGCCUGAUCCAGCCAUGCCGCGUGUCUGAAGAAGGCCUUCGGGUUGUAAAGGACUUUUGUCAGGGAGGAAAUCCCUAGUGCUAAUAACACUGGGGGAUGACAGUACCUGAAGAAUAAGCACCGGCUAACUACGUGCCAGCCGCCGCAGUAA